UACGGAGGGUGCAAGCGUUAUCCGGAUUUACUGGGUUUAAAGGGUGCGCAGGCGGAUAUGUAAGUCAGUGGUGAAAUCUCUGGGCUUAACCCGGAAAUUGCCAUUGAUACUAUAUAUCUUGAAUGCUGUGGAGGUAAGCGGAAUAUGUCAUGUAGCGGUGAAAUGCUUAGAGAUGACAUAGAACACCUAUUGCGAAGGCAGCUUACUACGCAGAGAUUGACGCUCAUGCACGAAAGCGUGGGGAGCGAACAGG
rnacentral:rRNA from 1 species